rnacentral:rRNA from 1 species
GAUGAACGCUGGCGGUCUGCUUAACACAUGCAAGUCGAACGGACCCUUCGGGGUUAGUGGCGGACGGUGAGUAACGCGUGAGAAUCUGCCUUCAGGUCUGGGACAACAGAAGGAAACUUCUGCUAAUCCGGGAUGAGCCGAAAGGUAAAAGAUUUAUUGCCCACAGAUGAGCUCGCGUCUGAUUAGCUAGUUGGUAAGGUAAAAGCGUACCAAGGCGACGAUCAGUAGCUGGUCUGAGAGGAUGAGCAGCCACACUGGGACUGAGACACGGCCCAGACUCCUACGGGAGGCAGCAGUGGGAAUUUUCCGCAAUGGGCGAAAGCCUGACGAGCAAGACCGCGUGGGGAG